rnacentral:rRNA from 1 species
GACGAACGCUGGCGGCGUGCUUAACACAUGCAAGUCGAACGGAAAGGCCCUGCUUGCAGGGUACUCGAGUGGCGAACGGGUGAGUAACACGUGGGUGAUCUGCCCUGCACUUCGGGAUAAGCCUGGGAAACUGGGUCUAAUACCGGAUAGGAGCCAUUUUUAGUGUGAUGGUUGGAAAGUUUUUUUCGGUGUAGGAUGAGCUCGCGGCCUGUCAGCUUGUUGGUGGGGUAAUGGCCUACCAAGGCGGCGACGGGUAGCCGGCCUGAGAGGGUGGACGGCCACAUUGGGACUGAGAUACGGCCCAGUCUCCUACGGGAGGCAGCAGUGGGGAAUAUUGCACAAUGGGCGUAAGCCUGAUGCAGCGACGCCGCGUGGGGGAUGACGGCCUUCGGGUUGUAAACUCCUUUCGCUAGGGACGAAGCUUUUUGUGACGGUACCUAGAUAAGAAGCACCGGCUAACUACGUG